AACGCACCUUGCGCUCCUUGGUAUUCCGAGGAGCAUGCCUGUUUGAGUGUCAUUAAUAUAUAUAUCAAACUUCUCUUGUUGAGUGGUUUUGGAUGUGGGGGUUUGCUGGCCACUUAAAUGGUUCAGCUCCCCUGAAAUGCAUUAGCAGAACAACCCUGUUCAUUGGUGUGAUAAUUAUCUACGCUAUUGAAUGUGAGGGGGGCAGUUCAGCUUUCUAACAGUCCUUGGACAAUUCAUCAUUAAUGUGACCUCAAAUCAGGUAGGACUACCCGCUGAACUUAA
rnacentral:misc_RNA from 1 species